GGGCUAUCAUGCAGUCGAGCGGACAGAAGGGAGCUUGCUCCCGGAUGUUAGCGGCGGACGGGUGAGUAACACGUGGGUAACCUGCCUGUAAGACUGGGAUAACUCCGGGAAACCGGAGCUAAUACCGGAUAGUUCCUUGAACCGCAUGGUUCAAGGAUGAAAGACGGUUUCGGCUGUCACUUACAGAUGGACCCGCGGCGCAUUAGCUAGUUGGUGGGGUAAUGGCUCACCAAGGCGACGAUGCGUAGCCGACCUGAGAGGGUGAUCGGCCACACUGGGACUGAGACACGGCCCAGACUCCUACGGGAGGCAGCAGUAGGGAAUCUUCCGCAAUGGACGAAAGUCUGACGGAGCAACGCCGCGUGAGUGAUGAAGGUUUUCGGAUCGUAAAGCUCUGUUGUUAGGGAAGAACAAGUGCGAGAGUAACUGCUCGCACCUUGACGGUACCUAACCAGAAAGCCACGGCUAACUACGUGCCAGCAGCCGCGGUAAUACGUAGGUGGCAAGCGUUGUCCGGAAUUAUUGGGCGUAAAGGGCUCGCAGGCGGUUUCUUAAGUCUGAUGUGAAAGCCCCCGGCUCAACCGGGGAGGGUCAUUGGAAACUGGGAAACUUGAGUGCAGAAGAAGAGAGUGGAAUUCCACGUGUAGCGGUGAAAUGCGUAGAGAUGUGGAGGAACACCAGUGGCGAAAGGCGACUCUCUGGUCUGUAACUGACGCUGAAGAGCGAAAGCGUGGGGAGCGAACAGGAUUAGAUACCCUGGUAGUCCACGCCGUAAACGAUGAGUGCUAAGUGUUAGGGGUUUCCGCCCCUUAGUGCUGCAGCUAACGCAUUAAGCACUCCGCCUGGGGGAGUACGGUCGCAAGACUGAAACUCAAAGGAAUUGACGGGGGCCCGCACAGCGGUGGAGCAUGUGGUUUAAUUCGAAGCACGCGAGAACCUUACCAGGUCUUGACAUCCUCUGACACUCUAGAGAUAGGCUGUUCCCUUC
rnacentral:rRNA from 1 species